rnacentral:rRNA from 1 species
GAUGAACGCUGGCGGCGUGCCUAAUACAUGCAAGUCGAGCGAACAGACGAGGAGCUUGCUCCUCUGACGUUAGCGGCGGACGGGUGAGUAACACGUGGAUAACCUACCUAUAAGACUGGGAUAACUUCGGGAAACCGGAGCUAAUACCGGAUAAUAUAUUGAACCGCAUGGUUCAAUAGUGAAAGACGGUUUUGCUGUCACUUAUAGAUGGAUCCGCGCCGCAUUAGCUAGUUGGUAAGGUAACGGCUUACCAAGGCAACGAUGCGUAGCCGACCUGAGAGCGUGGUCGGCCACACUGGAAGUGAGACACGGUCCAGACUCCUACGGGAGGCAGCAGUAGGGAAUCUUCCGCAAUGGGCGAAAGCCUGACGGAGCAACGCCGCGUGAGUGAUGAAGGUCUUCGGAUCGUAAAACUCUGUUAUUAGGGAAGAACAAAUGUGUAAGUAACUAUGCACGUCUUGACGGUACCUAAUCAGAAAGCCACGGCUAACUACGUG